UUGUCCAGCAGCCCGUCCCUGCCUGGCUGAGGAGCGGGAGGCAGCUGCCGCCAGCCGGGCUUCGAGGAGCAGGGCGGCCUCCCAGCCGCUCCCCCAGGGAGGCGCUCGUCCGCGCAGGAUACUGGCUUGGUGGCUCUUGAUAUGCCAAUCAGUCCUGCCUAGAUCUCACCUCCGUCAUGAUUUCAGAGGAUCAGAGGCCUUCAUGACAGAAGUACUAGUGGCAUUAUUCUGUCUACCAGAUUUUAUCAGGGUCCAUAGUCACGAUGGUGACUAUGCAAGACUACUCUCAUCCCUCCUCCUGAAUGCUGUCUGCAAGAGGCUUGCAGCGCUCUUGGCCAGGAAGCAGAGAAAAACAUAGUUAGCAACUUCUUAUGUCUUUGGAGGCUCAAAGAGGCCACCAUGAGCUGUGCCAUCAGUAGGAGCAAAUUACAAUGGCUGCUCCAUGUCAGCAAUGGGAAAACUGUCUGUUCAGCUUCCCAGGAGCAGUCAAGGGCACCUUUUAUCCUACUCUUUAGUUGGACAAAGAAACUGCUUAGGGACAAACCAAUAUUGUGGAAGGAGAGAGAUGACAUUGGUCCUUAUAACCAAAAGAGAGGAAACAAACAAACACUUUAGACAUAUCAUUUACUGGAUCAUCAUUUGGCCUAGGUCACAGCAAGUGGAACGCACCAGAUCGAGGCUUCUCUGCAGUUGCUCCUGAGACCUGCCCUUGAUGAGCUAGUCAUUGAGAUACGGGAAGACCUGGACCCCUCGGAAUCUCAGGGGCUGAAUGUAACAGGAAAUUGAACGCUCUUUACUGCUUAUGUAAUGCUGACAGACCCUUGUUGACGGUGGGUGAGACUGAACCUGGGAUUUCUGGAGCUUAGUGCAUGAGCCUCUACUGCAUGAGCUAAAAGCCAUAUGCCUGUUAGCUAAGGCUGUAGAGCAGACUCAAUCUCUCUCUAAGUGGUCUCAGUGCCACUAGAUGGGACAGAACACCAUACCCGGAAGGUGUUUGGGUUACACUUAUACCACAGAAGUGUUCUCCUUUGGUGGAAUGAAUGCAUAAAUCACCUUAGCUAAACUCACAAGAUUUGUAUGGCACAACGGAAGUGAAGAGAAAGAGUUGAAACCUGAUGGGCUCUGUCAUUUGGUGGACACCCGUGUACCAAUUCAUCACUCCUUGCACACUUGUAAAAAUAAUUAAAUAGAAAAGUUCAUUUUGCUCCUUUUUGCAUGGCUGCACCAGUAUUUCAUGUAUAUCAUUAGGAGCUUAUUUAUAUGACUUUCGU